AACGAACGCUGGCGGCAUGCCUAACACAUGCAAGUCGAACGAGACCUUCGGGUCUAGUGGCGCACGGGUGCGUAACGCGUGGGAACCUGCCCUUAGGUUCGGAAUAACUCCCCGAAAGGGGUGCUAAUACCGGAUAAUGUCUUCGGACCAAAGAUUUAUCGCCUUUGGAUGGGCCCGCGUUGGAUUAGCUAGUUGGUAGGGUAAAAGCCUACCAAGGCGACGAUCCAUAGCUGGUCUGAGAGGAUGAUCAGCCACACUGGGACUGAGACACGGCCCAGACUCCUUCGGGAAGCAGCAGUGGGGAAUAUUGGACAAUGGGCGAAAGCCUGAUCCAGCAAUGCCGCGUGAGUGAUGAAGGCCUUAGGGUUGUAAAGCUCUUUUACCCGGGAUGAUAAUGACAGUACCGGGAGAAUAAGCUCCGGCUAACUCCGUG
rnacentral:rRNA from 1 species